rnacentral:rRNA from 1 species
AUUGAACGCUGGCGGCAGGCCUAACACAUGCAAGUCGAGCGGAUGAAGGGAGCUUGCUCCUGGAUUCAGCGGCGGACGGGUGAGUAAUGCCUAGGAAUCUGCCUGGUAGUGGGGGAUAACGUCCGGAAACGGGCGCUAAUACCGCAUACGUCCUGAGGGAGAAAGUGGGGGAUCUUCGGACCUCACGCUAUCAGAUGAGCCUAGGUCGGAUUAGCUAGUUGGUGGGGUAAAGGCCUACCAAGGCGACCAUCCGUAACUGGUCUGAGAGGAUGAUCAGUCACACUGGAACUGAGACACGGUCCAGACUCCUACGGGAGGCAGCAGUGGGGAAUAUUGGACAAUGGGCGAAAGCCUGAUCCAGCCAUGCCGCGUGUGUGAAGAAGGUCUUCGGAUUGUAAAGCACUUUAAGUUGGGAGGAAGGGCAGUAAGUUAAUACCUUGCUGUUUUGACGUUACCAACAGAAUAAGCACCGGCUAACUUCGUG